rnacentral:rRNA from 1 species
UUCAGGAUGAACGCUAGCUACAGGCUUAACACAUGCAAGUCGAGGGGCAGCAUGGUCUUAGCUUGCUAAGGCCGAUGGCGACCGGCGCACGGGUGAGUAACACGUAUCCAACCUGCCGUCUACUCUUGGACAGCCUUCUGAAAGGAAGAUUAAUACAAGAUGGCAUCAUGAGUCCGCAUGUUCACAUGAUUAAAGGUAUUCCGGUAGACGAUGGGGAUGCGUUCCAUUAGAUAGUAGGCGGGGUAACGGCCCACCUAGUCUUCGAUGGAUAGGGGUUCUGAGAGGAAGGUCCCCCACAUUGGAACUGAGACACGGUCCAAACUCCUACGGGAGGCAGCAGUGAGGAAUAUUGGUCAAUGGGCGAGAGCCUGAACCAGCCAAGUAGCGUGAAGGAUGACUGCCCUAUGGGUUGUAAACUUCUUUUAUAAAGGAAUAAAGUCGGGUAUGGAUACCCGUUUGCAUGUACUUUAUGAAUAAGGAUCGGCUAACUCCGUGCCAGCAGCCGCGGUAAUACGGAGGAUCCGAGCGUUAUCCGGAUUUAUUGGGUUUAAAGGGAGCGUAGAUGGAUGUUUAAGUCAGUUGUGAAAGUUUGCGGCUCAACCGUAAAAUUGCAGUUGAUACUGGAUAUCUUGAGUGCAGUUGAGGCAGGCGGAAUUCGUGGUGUAGCGGUGAAAUGCUUAGAUAUCACGAAGAACUCCGAUUGCGAAGGCAGCCUGCUAAGCUGCAACUGACAUUGAGGCUCGAAAGUGUGGGUAUCAAACAGGAUUAGAUACCCUGGUAGUCCACACGGUAAACGAUGAAUACUCGCUGUUUGCGAUAUACUGCAAGCGGCCAAGCGAAAGCGUUAAGUAUUCCACCUGGGGAGUACGCCGGCAACGGUGAAACUCAAAGGAAUUGACGGGGGCCCGCACAAGCGGAGGAACAUGUGGUUUAAUUCGAUGAUACGCGAGGAACCUUACCCGGGCUUAAAUUGCAGAUGAAUUACGGUGAAAGCCGUAAGCCGCAAGGCAUCUGUGAAGGUGCUGCAUGGUUGUCGUCAGCUCGUGCCGUGAGGUGUCGGCUUAAGUGCCAUAACGAGCGCAACCCUUGUUGUCAGUUACUAACAGGUUCCGCUGAGGACUCUGACAAGACUGCCAUCGUAAGAUGUGAGGAAGGUGGGGAUGACGUCAAAUCAGCACGGCCCUUACGUCCGGGGCUACACACGUGUUACAAUGGGGGGUACAGAGGGCCGCUACCACGCGAGUGGAUGCCAAUCCCCAAAACCUCUCUCAGUUCGGACUGGAGUCUGCAACCCGACUCCACGAAGCUGGAUUCGCUAGUAAUCGCGCAUCAGCCACGGCGCGGUGAAUACGUUCCCGGGCCUUGUACACACCGCCCGUCAAGCCAUGGGAGCCGGGGGUACCUGAAGUGCGUAACCGCGAGGAGCGCCCUAGGGUAAAA